CCAUCGUCUGGGAUGUGAGGAGCCCCUGUGCCUGGCCACCCCAUCUGGGAAGUGAGGCGCGCCUCUGCCUGGCUGCCACCACGUCUAGGAAGUGAGGAGCGUCUCUGCCUGGCCGCCCAUCAUCUGGGAUGUGAGGAGCCCCUCUGCCUGGCCGCCCCGUCUGGGAAGUGAGGAGUGCCUCUGCCCAGUCGCCCCAUCUGGGAGGUGAGGAGCGCCUCUGCCUGGCCGCCCCGUCUGGGAGGGUUAAAUGGAUUAAGGGCGGUGCAAGAUGUGCUUUGUUAAACAGAUGCUUGAAGGCAGCAUGCUCAUUAAGAGUCAUCACCACUCCCUAAUCUCAAGUACCCAGGGACACAAACAGGGCCGAAGGCCGCAGGGACCUCUGCCUAGGAAAACCAGAGACCUUUGUUCUGGUGUUUAUCUGCUGGCCUUCUCUCCACUAUUAUCCUAUGACCCUGCCACAUCCCCCUCUCUGAGAAACACCCAAAAAUGAUCAAUAAAUACUAAAUAAAUAAAUAAAUAAAUAAACUACUUUUC
rnacentral:lncRNA from 1 species